CGAAGGGUAUGAGUUGGACUGAUGAAAACUGAUAUUCAUGUUUAAGGGAAACUGAGACUGCUAAUGGAAAACGGAAGAAAAUGUAUAAACAGAUGUUAUUUUCAAUGGGAUUACACCCAGAUAAUAUCUUUCCAGUCCAUCUCCAGAGAUUUGAUUUGACUAACCUUUUUGGUGAUGAGGGCUUCUCCAUUUCGGCAGCACGCAUUCAACUUAAUUCAGAUGCC